UAGCGAAGGGGGCUAGCGUUGCUCGGAAUCAUUGGGCGUAAAGGGUGCGUAGGCGGGUCUUUUAAGUCAGGGGGUGAAAAUCCUGGAGCUCAACUCCAGAACUGCCUUUGAUACUGAAGAUCUUGAGUGCGGGAGAGGUGAGUGGAAUUCCCCAGUGUAGCGGUGAAAUGCGUAGAUAUCAGGAAGAACACCAAUGGCGAAAGCAGCUUUCUGGGACGGUACUGACGCUGAGACGCGAAAAGCGUGGGGAGCGAACAGG
rnacentral:rRNA from 1 species